rnacentral:misc_RNA from 1 species
CGGGCACAUAAUCUGGAACCCUGCCUUCGAAAUAAUUACCAGACAGAUCAACAUAACGGAACCUUCUCAGUAUAGGUUUGAGAAUUCCAUAAAACGAAUUCCCAUUCAGUACCGCAGAAAUGGCAUUAGCAUUCAAGGUAGUAUUCGGCAAGAAACCAGAGAAAUUGUUGGCAGAGAUAUCAAGAAGGCGCAAUCCGGGC